GCAGGUGUGGCGGAAUUGGCAGACGCACUAGACUUAGGAUCUAGCGCCUUUGGCAUGGGGGUUCGACUCCCUUCCCCUGCACCA
rnacentral:tRNA from 1 species